GUAAAAGUCGUAACAAGGUCUCCGUAGGUGAACCUGCGGAGGGAUCAUUACACAAAUACAAUAUGAAGGCUUCGGCUGGAUUAUUUAUUUCACCCUUGUCUUUUGCGCACUUGUUGUUUCCUGGGCGGGUUCGCCCGCCACCAGGACCACACCAUAAACCUUUUUUGUUAAUGCAGUCAGCGUCAGUACAACAAAUGUAAAUCAUUUACAACUUUCAACAACGGAUCUCUUGGUUCUGGCAUCGAUGAAGAACGCAGCGAAAUGCGAUACGUAGUGUGAAUUGCAGAAUUCAGUGAAUCAUCGAAUCUUUGAACGCACAUUGCGCCCUUUGGUAUUCCAAAGGGCAUGCCUGUUCGAGCGUCAUUUGUACCCUCAAGCUUUGCUUGGUGUUGGGCGUUUUGUCUUUGCUCGCCAAAGACUCGCCUUAAAACGAUUGGCAGCCGACCUCUUGGUUUCGCAGCGCAGCACAAUUUUGCGCUUGCAAAUCAGCAAGUUGGCACUCCAUCAAGA
rnacentral:rRNA from 1 species